GUAGGGAAUAUUGGGCAAUGGAGGCAACUCUGACCCAGCCAUGCCGCGUGCAGGAUGACGGCCCUCUGGGUUGUAAACUGCUUUUAUACGGGAAGAAAAAAUACUACGUGUAGUAUACUGACGGUACCGUAAGAAUAAGGAUCGGCUAACUCCGUGCCAGCAGCCGCGGUAAUACGGAGGAUCCAAGCGUUGUCCGGAUUUAUUGGGUUUAAAGGGUGCGUAGGCGGAUCUUUAAGUCAGUGGUGAAAGCCUGCAGCUUAACUGUAGAAUAGCCAUUGAAACUGAAGAGCUUGAAUGUGGUUAAAGUAGGCGGAAUGUAUCAUGUAGCGGUGAAAUGCUUAGAUAUGAUACAGAACACCGAUAGCGAAGGCAGCUUGCUGAACCAUUAUUGACGCUGAGGCACGAAAGCGUGGGGAGCGAACAGGAUUAGAUACCCCUGUAGUCC
rnacentral:rRNA from 1 species